CCAAUAGCGUAUAUUAAAGUUGUUGCAGUUAAAAAGCUCGUAGUUGAAUUUCGGGACCAAUCUGCCGGUCGUGCCUCCGGUACGCACUGGUUUUAUUGGUUUCUCCCUUCUGACGAACCAUGAUGUCAUUAAUUUGGUGUCAUGGGGAAUCAGGACUGUUACUUUGAAAAAAUUAGAGUGUUUAUAGCAGGCUCACGCUUGAAUACAUUAGCAUGGAAUAAUGAAAUAGGACGUUUGACCCUAUUUUGUUGGUUUCUAGGAUCGACGUAAUGAUUAAUAGGGAUAGUUGGGGGCAUUAGUAUUCAAUUGUCAGAGGUGAAAUUCUUGGAUUUAUUGAAGACUAACUACUGCGAAAGCAUUUGCCAAGGAUGUUUUCAUUAAUCAAGAACGAAAGUUAGGGGAUCGAAGACGAUCAGAUACCGUCGUAGUCUUAACCAUAAACUAUGCCGACUAGAGAUCGGAUGAUGUUAAUUUUUUAAUGACUCAUUCGGCGCCUUACG
rnacentral:misc_RNA from 1 species